rnacentral:rRNA from 1 species
UACAGAGGGUGCAAGCGUUGCUCGGAAUUAUUGGGCGUAAAGGGCAGGUAGGUGGUCUCAUUUGUCUGGGGUGAAAGCCUUGAGCUUAACUCAAGAAGUGCCCCAGAAACGGUGAGACUAGAGUCCUAGAGAGGGUCGUGGAAUACCCGGUGUAGCGGUGAAAUGCGUAGAGAUCGGGUGGAACACCAGAGGCGAAGGCGGCGACCUGGAUAGGUACUGACACUCAAGUGCGAAAGCGUGGGGAGCAAACAGG